rnacentral:rRNA from 1 species
AUGAUCGGUUUUUUCAGCACCUUUCAAAAUGUGACAGCCGCUUUGCAUAUGUUGGCAUACGGUAUUCCGGCAGAUCUAAUUGAUGACCACUUGACCAUGGGUGAGAGUCAAGCCAUCAUGUGUGUCAAGCGCUUCGCACUCGAAAUUGUGCAAGUGUUUGGUCUGGAAUAUUUGAGAGUUCCCAAUGCUAAAGACACCGCAAGGCUUUUGGAGAUGAACAAAGCUCGCGGGUUCCCAGGUAUGCUUGACUCGAUAGAGAAGUUUGAAGAGCUAUCCUAA